rnacentral:rRNA from 1 species
UACGGAGGGGGCUAGCGUUGUUCGGAAUUACUGGGCGUAAAGCGCGCGUAGGCGGCUUUGUAAGUUAGAGGUGAAAGCCCGGAGCUCAACUCCGGAAUUGCCUUUAAGACUGCAUCGCUAGAAUCAUGGAGAGGUUAGUGGAAUUCCGAGUGUAGAGGUGAAAUUCGAUAGAUAUUCGGAAGAACACCAGUGGCGAAGGCGAACUAACUGGACAUGGUAUUGACGCUGAGGUGCG